UACUGUAGCCGAGCACAUGGAUCACAGAGCCGUCCCCCUUGAGACAAUAAUCUCUGAGAAACGAGGCAUCCGAUGGCCGUGCCAGAGCAGCUCCAUGGAUGUUAAUGGCAGACUGCGACUGUGGCAGAUGAUUUGGAUAACGUUAGGGUGACAAGACGUGUUGCCAGCAGCCAGAGGAGCGACUGGGCACACAGAGGCCAAACAACAGCAAGCGGAAAGACGGCGGUGCUGGUAGAUUGAAGGUUGUCGCACGAGGGCGUGUCGGCCAAGCGACGAUGGGACGUGUUCUGGCAACAGAUGCGUGGGCACGGGAUGAAGACGUGGGGUGUGAGGCCGGAGUGCAAAGAAUUCAAAGACCCGUCAUCGGCCUCACCUCAAGCGGCAAUUGCCUACCAGUAGGAGCGGUACUGCUAAUAUAUCAAAUAUAUUUCAAAAGUCACUUAUGGUCUUGUAUUGUUGAUUGAAUUUUUAAUUGAAACGUAACCUGGAUGAAAUUCACCUCCAUUAAGCGAGAAUAUUUGUGGUACCAUCUUUGAUUGGGAAAGUUCGCCCAUAAGUGAGCGGCGCACAUCCACGCGCGCGUCACCUUUUUCGUAGCAAUCGAGCCACCGUUUCACGCGGCAAACAACACCAGACAACAUUUCGGUAGUCGCAUGCCUUUCUGAGGCCUUCUUCAAGCUUUGGGAGAUCCCGAGAGGUUUGCACUGUAGUAUACUGUAUAAACUAAAUGCGUUAUACCUACUAAAUAGAAUUAAAUAGGAUAGAAUUCCAUCAGCACAAUGUAACAAUAUCCAAAACGUGAGCUGUAUCAAAUAUUCCGCCUUUACAAUGGUUAUCACGUUCAGUUUUGAUUGAAACUGUCGUUUCACAAUAUGUUCAUUAUUGUGGUUGCCGUGGUGCACAACUGUACUGCGUCAAACUCAAAUAUUUGACUCUUUCGCCAAACCAAUUGACACAACCCAGACAGACUCAGCCCGCAUUCUGACACAAAUCAUUUAUGAUUUAAUAUGAAUAAAUACAUGAAGCAAGUAGGCAGGAGGGAGGGGGCAUGAUGCGGAUCAGCAGCAGGGCACAUUAAACACAAUCAGGAGCAUUUCUGCGUUUGACACGAGACGACCGUGCCACAUUGCAGUUUGCAUCAGUGUGUGCAUACAUCACACAGGAAACUAAUCCUCUCAUUCACGGGGGGAUCAAGUCCUGUACACGUCUCUCUGCAUCACACAUGCCAUUGCCUUGCAGCAUGGUAACAUCAUCAGCGCUUACUAUAUAUGAUAGAAGUGUACAAGUAACGUAGUGCAGGUUAAAAAAAAAAAAAAAAAAAAGGAAAUACAUGAAGAAAAACCACACGAAGGAGCCGGCCUUUAUAACGACUGUAGUAGUCAUGUCGUAGAAACAGAUGUAUGCGUGUGGUGCCACACAGUUCCACACAGUCAAAUCAAUCAGACAAGAGGUGCAGUCUUGUUGACUUGCUGCGCAGCCAGUCAACAGGUUAUGCACCCAUUUAAAAGUGGUUAUAGCUACUACACAAAAUCCUAAGUACUCAAUAACCACCACUAAUAUUCCAAGCAUUCCCUGCCACUCACCCGUACUGGCUGUGUACUGCAGGCUUCCGCGCUUCCUGAAGGGGGAGAGGGGCUUGUUUUUGGCUGCCCCGGGGGGCACGUUGGAGGACAUGCUGCCGGUACUUCUGCUUCCACUUGUUUGGGAAAGGGAAAAAAAAAAAAAAGGAGAACUGAAUGAGUCAGAGCUGCAGAGGUUGUUCGAGUCGAUGGAGAGACAGAGAGAGCGAGGAAGGAGAGAGAUGUUGCACCAAUGCUGAAAGCUUGGGGGGGGGGGAGUCGAUUGCAACGCGCGCGUGUGUGCGCGUGUGUACGUGCUUAGAAGCAGGGUAUUUCCAAACUGCUUGGUACAGCGGGAGGCUGCAGAGCAUCUGAGCAUCCCUCUGCGGAGACUCUGUUCCCGCCCUCUUGGAAGAGUUCAGCGUUGGAGCUGCAGCAUUGAUGGAGGCUGGGGGUGUAACUGAAAGUUACCCGUCACACACACACACACACACACACUCCAUCAUCCGGCACACACAAACAUACACACAGAGAAUACAAAUGAUCCACACGCUCAGCAGCACACUCCUCCUGGCCGCGCUGUUGCCAUGACAACUAAAAGCCUGUGUGGGUAAAUUAAGGGAGAGGAAAGUUCUGAUUUUGGAACUUACAUACAGUAGUGAAAUAAAAUAUGAAGCUUGAUUGCUUGUGGUUUUCAAUGAAAACAAAUCCGUGGAAAAUCUCCCCCCAGCACCCUAUCCCAUCUGACUUGGGCCGAGAGUUGCAAUAACCCACACCGGUCGCUAAUCAAUCACCAGCCACAUGUAGACAAACGACCAUUCACACUCAUGUCCCACCUACCAUGAAAAAGUAUUUGUCCCCUUCUCCAAUUAGUCUUUUUGUGACAUACUUUCCCCACUUUAAUGUUUAAGAUCAUCAAACAACAAAUUGUUUGCAGUUUUUAAAUGUUGAUUUUAUUUUCCAUCCAUCUUAUCCAGUGUCAGGUCGUUGAGGUAGCACCAUAAGUCUGAUUUUAUUUAUCACCAAAAAAUAAUAUUCCAAGCCACCUGGUCCUUUGUGAAAAAGUAAUUGCCCCCCUUGUUAACUGUAGCUAACCACAUUUUUGGGAAAGGUGAAUUCAUUUCCAUCGCCCACACCCAAGCCUGAUUACCUCCAGACCUGUCCAAUCAAGAAAUCACUUCAAUAGAACCUGUCUGACAAAAGGAAGUCGGCAAAACAAAUCUCAAAAUGCUGCAACAAAAUGCCACGAUACAAAGAAGUUCGACAUGAGAAAUAAAGUACAACCUAAUUGACAUCUAUCAGUUGGGAAAAGGUCACAAUGCCAAAGCUUUAGGACUCCAGCAAACCACGAUGAGAGCCGUUAUCGACCAAUGGAGAAAACAUCGAACAGUGGUUAACUUUCCCAGGUGUGGCCGACCUACAAAAAUGAACCGAAGAGCAUUCAGGAGGUCAAUGAGGAACCCAGGACAACAUCUUAAGAACUGCAGGCCUCCCUUGUGUUAGUUAAAUUCAUGACUCAACAAUAAGGAAGAGACUGGGCAAAAAUGACAUACAUGGCAGAGUUCCAAGGCAAAAAGCACUGCUGGCCAAAAACAACGUAAAGGCUUGUCUUGCUUUUG